ACUCCUACGGGAGGCAGCAGUGGGGAAUAUUGCACAAUGGGCGCAAGCCUGAUGCAGCAACGCCGCGUGAGGGACGACGGCCUUCGGGUUGUAAACCUCUUUUAGUAGGGAAGAAGCGAAAGUGACGGUACCUGCAGAAAAAGCACCGGCUAACUACGUGCCAGCAGCCGCGGUAAUACGUAGGGUGCAAGCGUUAUCCGGAAUUAUUGGGCGUAAAGAGCUCGUAGGCGGUUUGUCGCGUCUGCUGUGAAAACUGGAGGCUCAACCUCCAGCCUGCAGUGGGUACGGGCAGACUAGAUUGCGGUAGGGGAGAUUGGAAUUCCUGGUGUAGCGGUGGAAUGCGCAGAUAUCAGGAGGAACACCGAUGGCGAAGGCAGAUCUCUGGGCCGUAACUGACGCUGAGGAGCGAAAGCAUGGGGAGCGAACAGGAUUAGAUACCCUGGUAGUCCAUGCCGUAAACGUUGGGAACUAGAUGUAGGGACCAUUCCACGGUUUCUGUGUCGCAGCUAACGCAUUAAGUUCCCCGCCUGGGGAGUACGGCCGCAAGGCUAAAACUCAAAGGAAUUGACGGGGGCCCGCACAAGCGGCGGAGCAUGCGGAUUAAUUCGAUGCAACGCGAAGAACCUUACCAAGGCUUGACAUAUACCGGAAAAGUUCAGAAAUGUUCUCCCCGCAAGGUCGGUAUACAGGUGGUGCAUGGUUGUCGUCAGCUCGUGUCGUGAGAUGUUGGGUUAAGUCCCGCAACGAGCGCAACCCUCGUUCUAUGUUGCCAGCACGUAAUGGUGGGAACUCAUAGGAGACUGCCGGGGUGAACUCGGA
rnacentral:rRNA from 1 species